AAGGUCUGACUCGCAGCUCUUCCCUCGCCUUCACUUUAACAUGCAGGGAGCCACACGCAAUUCACUGUGACGAAUGAGCGGGAAACCAUGGCAACAGCAGGGAACAUGCGGUUUGCCAUUCUUCAGCUGUACGAUCAGAACGACAGUUUGGCUGACCAGCAGAGUGCUAACGGUGGGCCGGCAGCUUGAUUCAUUGUUGUGAAUCAUCUCUGUAGGUCUAAUGAGCGUGUUCAUUUCAACACCUCCUUAGAACAUGAGAGGGAGUCCGGUACAAGGAGGGGGGAGGGAGGGCUUUCUGUGACUCACACUGGACACGGAGGAGCCGAAAAAGGUAGCUGAAGGUUUCUCUGUCAUCCCCAUCCCGUCACUAUCAGAUUGCUAUGAGGAGAUGUGCUCUGACUCAUGGUGAAGUGUUAACUUAGCAGGUGACUGGAGAGGAAGCUGAAGCAGCAGGACUGAAGAGGAUGGUUGCAGGACAGAAGAAGAUGAAGAAUGCCAAACAGGAACACAGGUAAGGAGUCAGAUGGAGUUCCCAUUGACAAGCAUUAUACGACUGACAGACCGCAACGGUUGGAGUUCAAAAUCAUCAUUUGUGUUCUACUGAAGAAACAAAGUCACCUACAUCUUGGAUGCCCUGGGGGAUGCAGUUGACCCUCAAGAACAAUGACACAAUUUAAACGCUCAAUCAGAAUCCAGCAUUCAUCAACAAGUUUGAAAACACAAACGAUUCUUCCUCCCUAUAAGUUACACUACUAUGUCCGAGGCCAAGUCAGCCUGUCAUUUCACUGCCAUAUAGUCUCAGAAACAGGCGGUGUCUACCUCUUUUUCAAAGAAAGUCCAUUGGCACAUUACAAGGGGGCUUGUUUAGUGGAUAUGUGGGACAACUUGGCCACGCCGUGCCCUGCUGAGCCACACGGAUGUGACUCAGAGUGUAAUAAGCAGCGAAUGAGGGCAUUAAGACUGUGUGACAGUGUUCCAAAGGCCCACUUUACGUCUGACAGGGGGGUGUUAAAGGUCAAGGCCACAUCCAGCGCUGUUAUUCCUCUAAUUUCACUCCCUGUCAGAAUCGCUCUGCUCUCUGUUUGUGUGAAAGGUUUAGGGCAUUUUAUUCAGGCCCAUCAACCUACAAUAUGAAUUGCAUUAUUAACAAAACAUAUAACUUAUACUUAAAGUGCUUACUCAAGUGCAAAUAUAACAUUCAUUAAGGCGAAAUAUGCUAUUAGUGAAGGAAUUAAUCACAAAUUGUGCUUACCCUUGACUUUAUAUUCUGCAAAGAACUGCGUCCUUAAACUGCAUGCAAAUUUGGUAGAGUGUCAGCCAACUUAAAAUCAAUUAUUAAACUCCCAGUAGAGCGCUCACUUCACAAAGAAUUUUCAUGCAGGUUCAUAAGAGCCUUAUAUAUCCUAUUGGUCAUUGGCAAACAUAGUGUAUGAGAAUGAUAUUAUAUAAUACAUUUGCAUAAAAUGACAUGCAGAUAUAGGCCUGUAAUACAUGAAGGCUUUAGAGGUCGAGUGCUGUCAGAGAUGUAGAAGUGAUGCAGGAUUUGUUUGAUAUGAGCUAAAGCUAUGAUAUAUCUGAACAUUUGGGGAAGACUACGUGUAGCUUGACAUGUUAAUAGAGGCCUGCUGUGUCUCAGGAUAAUCUUGUAAGCACUGUUUGUUUUCUGCGUAAUUAAACAGAGUGAGUGUC